UGUUAAAAGAGCCUUCAGAGAAUAUGAGACAUUAUUUUUCCUAAACAUCAGGCAUCUUACUAACGUGUCUAUGGGUGAGAGAAGUCUGUCCUUCAGAGGAUUUUGUAGUAUUGCACUGAGCCCAGAUGUGUACUAAGCCAGCAGGAACAGACACACAGGAUAGGAAUGAAGAAGGAGGAGUGCAAGGAGGAUAUGAAGGCCACAAUAAUAAUGAAACAACAAGGUUCAAAGUUGUUUUGGAUCCAACAAACUCUGUCUCCUUGGAUUCUACAAACAGAGCACAGGCUAGCUGGGUUGCAGUUGAUUUUUGCUGUCAUUUCCUGGUGCAAAGCCAGGUUCAUUGUGUGACUCCUUCCCUCAUUUCUGGGAGGAAUUAAGGUAGUGAGUAGGAGAAUAAAAGGAGGACCUCUAGGCUCUCAACUGCAGCAUGAGUUCUGUCCUCUGUUAUGGACCAGACAUCCAGAUCUGCCUCCACCCAUGAAGCUGCUGAGAGUCCUUGUGCUGGUUGCCCUUCCACUUUCCUGCUUUGCAGGUUGUGGAUGCUCAUUUCUAGAAGAAGUGGUUAAAAAAUAGGAGAAGAAAGGGAAGAAGAAAGGGGGGGUAAA